GACGAAGGUGGCUAGCGUUAUUCGGUGUCACUGGGCUUAAAGCGUAUGUAGGCGGAAAGAUAAGCGUUUUGUGAAAUCCCUCAGCUUAACUGAGGAAUUGCUUGACGAACUAUCUUUCUUGAGGCAAGUAGGGGUGCAUGGAACUCUUGGUGGGGCGGUGGAAUGCGUAGAUAUCAAGAGGAACGCCAAUGGAGAAAUCAGUGCACUGGGCUUGUCCUGACGCUCAGAUACGAAAGCGUGGGUAGCGAACGGG
rnacentral:rRNA from 1 species